GUGGGGGGCCAGCGUUGCUCGGAAUUACUGGGUGUAAAGGGUUCGUAGGCGGUGUGGCAAGUCGGGAGUGAAAUCUCUGGGCUUAACCCAGAGACUGCUUCCGAAACUGCUGUGCUUGAGUGUGGGAGAGGCGCGUGGAAUUGCAGGUGUAGCGGUGAAAUGCGUAGAUAUCUGCAGGAACACCCGUGGCGAAAGCGGCGCGCUGGACCACUACUGACGCUGAGGAACGAAAGCUAGGGGAGCAAACAGGAUUAGAUACCCUGGUAGUCCUAGCCCUAAACGAUCAGGACUUGGGGUGCCGCACGUUCGUGCGUCGUCCCGGAGMUAACGCGUUAAGUCCUGCACCUGGGGAGUACGGUCGCAA
rnacentral:rRNA from 1 species